rnacentral:rRNA from 1 species
GAGUUUGAUUAUGGCUCAGAUUGAACGCUGGCGGAAUGCUUUACACAUGCAAGUCGAGCGGCAGCGCGGGGCAACCUGGCGGCGAGCGGCGAACGGGUGAGUAAUACAUCGGAACGUGCCCAGACGUGGGGGAUAGCCCGGCGAAAGCCGGAUUAAUACCGCAUGUGAUCUGAGGAUGAAAGCGGGGGACCUUUGGGCCUCGCGCGUUUGGAGCGGCCGAUGGCAGAUUAGGUAGUUGGUGGGGUAAAGGCUUACCAAGCCUGCGAUCUGUAGCUGGUCUGAGAGGAUGAUCAGCCACACUGGGACUGAGACACGGCCCAGACUCCUACGGGAGGCAGCAGUGGGGAAUUUUGGACAAUGGGCGAAAGCCUGAUCCAGCCAUUCCGCGUGCAGGACGAAGGCCCUCGGGUUGUAAACUGCUUUUGUACAGAACGAAAAGUCUCUGGCUAAUACCCUAGGGAUCAUGACGNUACUAGA